AGUGUUGUUUGAAGAAGUGAUGGAUGUGGUGGGAAACCUUUGCAAGUGUUCUCUAUUUGUUAGGGUUACCUUCGAAGUCAUGUUUAGCUCAUGUCGGCCCAUUACCUCAUCCUUCCAAGCUUUUGUGAUUCUUUCUAUCCACUGACUUUUGGAAACGAAAGUCCUUUUAAGUAGUGGCUAAUGUAAUGAACCUUAAUGUUAUUUUGAAUAUUUUUACUUAUCUCCAAUAUUUGAAAUUCUCCAUAGCUGCCCCCAA
rnacentral:lncRNA from 1 species